GAUGAACGCUGGCGGCGUGCCUAAUACAUGCAAGUCGAGCGACCAGACGAGGAGCUUGCUCCUCUGACGUUAGCGGCGGACGGGUGAGUAACACGUGGAUAACCUACCUAUAAGACUGGGAUAACUUCGGGAAACCGGAGCUAAUACCGGAUAAUAUAUUGAACCGCAUGGUUCAAUAGUGAAAGACGGUUUUGCUGUCACUUAUAGAUGGUUCCGCGCCGCAUUAGCUAGUUGGUAAGGUAAAGGCUUACCAAGGCAACGAUGCGUAGCCGACCUGAGAGGGUGAUCGGCCACACUGGAACUGAGACACGGUCCAGACUCCUACGGGAGGCAGCAGUAGGGAAUCUUCCGCAAUGGGCGAAAGCCUGACGGAGCAACGCCGCGUGAGUGAUGAAGGUCUUCGGAUCGUAAAACUCUGUUAUUAGGGAAGAACAAAUGUGUAAGUAACUAUGCACGUCUUGACGGUACCUAAUCAGAAAGCCACGGCUAACUACGUG
rnacentral:rRNA from 1 species